ensembl:snRNA U7 U7 small nuclear RNA
AAGUAUUACAGUUCUUUUAGAAUUUGUCUAGCAGGUUCUCUGUUUUUACCAGAAAACCCCC